rnacentral:rRNA from 1 species
AGAAUCAACGCUGGCGGCGUGCCUAACACAUGCAAGUCGAACGAGAAAGUGGAGCAAUCCAUGAGUACAGUGGCGACCGGGUGAGUAACACGUGACUACCUACCCUUGAGUGGGGGAUAACCUCGGGAAACCGAGGCUAAUACCGCAUAAUAUCGAGAGAUCAAAGGAGCAAUUCGCUUUUGGAGGGGGUCGCGGCUGAUUAGCUAGUUGGCGGGGUAAUGGCCCACCAAGGCGAAGAUCGGUAUCCGGCCUGAGAGGGCGCACGGACACACUGGAACUGAAACACGGUCCAGACUCCUACGGGAGGCAGCAGUGGGGAAUUUUGCGCAAUGGGGGAAACCCUGACGCAGCAACGCCGCGUGGAGGAUGAAGCCCCUUGGGGUGUAAACUCCUUUCGACCGGGAAAAUAAUGAUGGUACCGGUGGAAGAAGCACCGGCUAACUCUGUGCCAGCAGCCGC